rnacentral:lncRNA from 1 species
CAUAUAAAAUUUAAUUGUAAAUUUUAUAAAUAAGUUAAUAAGAAGUGAUGUCCACUUCAUUUCAUAUAAAAUUUAAUUGUAAAUUUUAUAAUUAAGUUAAUAAGACGUGAUGUCCACUUUUGCCCUGUCACAUAUAUCCCUCCCGCUGAGAAAUUCGUUGUCCCCAACGAAUGAAUUUUGAAAAUAAAUGAAAUUAUCCAAAAUGAAAUGUUUUAUUGAUACAGGUUAUGACAUCUGAAAUAUGAAAGAAUAGAACACAUGAGUACAGACACUGAUAUGAAUAAGUUCUGCAUGAUAGAAAACAUUUGUCCAGCUUGUAAAUACAUGACAAUAUAUGUAUAUUA